AGUGAACGCUGGCGGUAGGCCUAACACAUGCAAGUCGAACGGCAGCACAGUAAGAGCUUGCUCUUACGGGUGGCGAGUGGCGGACGGGAGGAAUACAUCGGAAUCUACUUUUUCGUGGGGGAUAACGUAGGGAAACUUACGCUAAUACCGCAUACGACCUACGGGUGAAAGCAGGGGAUCUUCGGACCUUGCGCGAUUGAAUGAGCCGAUGUCGGAUUAGCUAGUUGGCGGGGUAAAGGCCCACCAAGGCGACGAUCCGUAGCUGGUCUGAGAGGAUGAUCAGCCACACUGGAACUGAGACACGGUCCAGACUCCUACGGGAGGCAGCAGUGGGGAAUAUUGGACAAUGGGCGCAAGCCUGAUCCAGCCAUACCGCGUGGGUGAAGAAGGCCUUCGGGUUGUAAAGCCCUUUUGUUGGGAAAGAAAAGCAGCAGGUUAAUACCCCGCUGUUCUGACGGUACCCAAAGAAUAAGCACCGGCUAACUUCGUG
rnacentral:rRNA from 1 species